AUUGAACGCUGUCUGCAGGCCUAACACAUGCAAGUCGCACGAGUGGCGGACGGGUUAAUAAUGUCUGGGAAACUGCCUGAUGGAGGGGGAUAACUACUGGAAACGGUAGCUAAUACCGCAUACCAUCUGAUGUGCCCAGAUGGGAUUAGCUAGUAGGUGGGGUAAAGGAUCACCUAGGCGACGAUCCCUAGCUGGUCUGAGAGGAUGACCAGCCAAAUUGGAACUGAGACACGGUCCAGACUCCUACGGGAGGAAGCAGUGGGUAAUAUUGCACAAUGGGCGCAAGCCUGAUGCAGCCAUGCCGCGUGUAUGAAGAAGGCCUUCGGGUUGUAAAGUACUUUCAGCGGGGAGGAGUUACCCGCAGAAGAAGCACCGGCUAACUCCGUGCCAGCAGCCGCGGAAAUUC
rnacentral:rRNA from 1 species